UCAAGUGAAGUAAAUGUGUAGUGUUUUAAUUGUGGAGAGAAUAGAAACUAAGCUCAUUAAAGUCUUAUGAGAACCAAACCCAAAACAAGUAAAGUAUAAAUGGGUUGUAGUAUUUGUGAAUUAGAGUUAAAAAAAUCAUUUGUAAACAUUUAGAGAAAAGAGGAUCCAGAUAGAAAGAAGAGGAAAGUUCAGGGAAUCAAAGAGGAGAGGGAGACUCAAGCUUGAGGGAGACUAGUUUUGAAGAGUUAAGAGGAUCAAGAUAUCUACAUUAUUUUAUCAUGUCAAUUUCAACAUCAACAUAAGAAGAUCGUCAUCAAAUUUUAGAAUACGAGCACGACUUCUCUUUAUGAAUGAAAAAAUUCCAACCACCACAUAAGCGAAGGAGUGAACAUUUAAAUGAGAAACAAGGCAGCAAUAGUUUAAGAGGAGUGUUAUUUGAACAACCAUUUGGUUGACAACUUUUAGGACAACCAUAAUUUAUAAAGAAAAAGUUGGUAUUUGCACGAAAAUCAAAGCAAUAAAGAGAUAAAGUAAAAAGUAAUGUGAGUAUGAGAGAGAAAGUUGUUGCAAAAGUUGUCACAAAAUGGAUGUUCAAAUAUCAUUUCUCAUAGUUUAAAUGAAAAGAUAUAUAUGCCAAUUGGGAAUAUUAUUUUACACAUCCAGAACAUUCUGGAUGUCCAUCUUGCUUCAUGCUUCCACGUGAAAGGCAUCCAACUGUAAUGAGUUGUUGAUAGUUGUAAGAAGUGACAUGCUUAUGUUAUUCUUUUGUCCUUUUGAUGAUGUUACAUUUAAUUCACAUGUGUUUAAAGUCUUUAUGAGAUA